UACAGAGGGUGCGAGCGUUGUCCGGAAUCACUGGGCGUAAAGGGCGCGUAGGUGGCGACCCAAGUCGAUGGUGAAAGCUCGCCGCUCAACGGCGAGUCGGCCACCGAUACUGGGUUGCUGGAGCACUGUAGAGGCUCAUGGAAUUCCGGGUGUAGCGGUGGAAUGCGUAGAGAUCCGGAAGAACACCGGUGGCGAAGGCGGCCUGCUGGGCAGUUGCUGACACUGAGGCGCGACAGCGUGGGGAGCAAACAGG
rnacentral:rRNA from 1 species